rnacentral:rRNA from 1 species
UACGUAGGGGGCUAGCGUUGUUCGGAAUUACUGGGCGUAAAGGGCGCGUAGGCGGCGCGAUAAGUUGGGCGUGAAAGGCCCGGGCUCAACCCGGGGACUGCGCUUGAUACUGUCGAGCUGGAGGCAGGUAGGGGAGAUCGGAAUUCCCGGUGUAGCGGUGAAAUGCGCAGAUAUCGGGAGGAACACCGGUGGCGAAGGCGGAUCUCUGGGCCUGUCCUGACGCUCAGACGCGAAAGCUAGGGGAGCAAACAGG